rnacentral:rRNA from 1 species
GAUGAACGCUGGCGGCGUGCCUAAUACAUGCAAGUCGAGCGAACAGACGAGGAGCUUGCUCCUCUGACGUUAGCGGCGGACGGGUGAGUAACACGUGGAUAACCUACCUAUAAGACUGGGAUAACUUCGGGAAACCGGAGCUAAUACCGGAUAACAUGUUGAACCGCAUGGUUUAACAGUGAAAGACGGUCUUGCUGUCACUUAUAGAUGGAUCCGCGCCGCAUUAGCUAGUUGGUAAGGUAACGGCUUACCAAGGCAACGAUGCGUAGCCGACCUGAGAGGGGGAUCGGCCACACUGGAACUGAGACACGGUCCAGACUCCUACGGGAGGCAGCAGUAGGGAAUCUUCCGCAAUGGGCGAAAGCCUGACGGAGCAACGCCGCGUGAGUGAAGAAGGUCUUCGGAUCGUAAAACUCUGUUAUUAGGGAAGAACAAAUGUGUAAGUAACUAUGCACGUCUUGACGGUACCUAAUCAGAAAGCCACGGCUAACUACGUG